rnacentral:rRNA from 1 species
UACAGAGGGUGCAAACGUUGUUCGGAAUUACUGGGCGUAAAGCGCGUGUAGGUGGCGAGGCAAGUCGGGUGUGAAAGCCCUGGGCUCAACCCAGGAAGUGCACUCGAUACUGCCUAGCUAGAGUCCCGGAGAGGUUGGUGGAACUCUCGGUGUAGAGGUGAAAUUCGUAGAUAUCGAGGAGAACACCGGUGGCGAAGGCGGCCAACUGGACGGUGACUGACACUGAGACGCGAAAGCGUGGGGAGCAAACAGG